rnacentral:rRNA from 1 species
UCGUCAGCUCGUGCCGUGAGGUGUCGGCUUAAGUGCCAUAACGAGCGCAACCCUUAUCUUCAGUUACUAACAGGUCAUGCUGAGGACUCUGGAGAGACUGCCGUCGUAAGAUGUGAGGAAGGUGGGGAUGACGUCAAAUCAGCACGGCCCUUACGUCCGGGGCUACACACGUGUUACAAUGGGGGGUACAGAAGGCAGCUACCGGGCGACCGGAUGCCAAUCCCAAAAACCUCUCUCAGUUCGGAUCGAAGUCUGCAACCCGACUUCGUGAAGCUGGAUUCGCUAGUAAUCGCGCAUCAGCCAUGGCGCGGUGAAUACGUUCCCGGGCCUUGUACACACCGCCCGUCAAGCCAUGAAAGCCGGGGGUACCUGAAGUACGUAACCGCAAGGAGCGUCCUAGGGUAAAACUGGUAAUUGGGGCUAAGUCGUAACAAGGUAGCCGUACCGGAAGGUGCGGCUGGAUCACCUC